CAGCCGCCGCGGUAAUACGGAGGGUGCAAGCGUUAAUCGGAAUUACUGGGCGUAAAGCGCACGCAGGCGGCUUGGUAAGUUAGAGGUGAAAGCCCAGGGCUCAACCCUGGAAUUGCCUUUAAGACUGCCGAGCUAGUAGGUGAGAGAGGUAAGUGGAAUUCCGAGUGUAGAGGUGAAAUUCGUAGAUAUUCGGAAGAACACCAGUGGCGAAGGCGGCUUACUGGCUCAUUCUAGACGCUGAGGUGCGAAAGCGUGGGGAGCAAACAGGAUUAGAGACCCGGGUAGUCCCUGUCUCUUAUAA
rnacentral:rRNA from 1 species